rnacentral:rRNA from 25 species
UAGCGCGGUGGUCCCACCUGACCCCAUGCCGAACUCAGAAGUGAAACGCCGUAGCGCCGAUGGUAGUGUGGGGUCUCCCCAUGUGAGAGUAGGGAACUGCCAGGC